rnacentral:rRNA from 1 species
GACGAACGCUGGCGGCGUGCUUAACACAUGCAAGUCGAACGGAAAGGCCCUGCUUGCAGGGUACUCGAGUGGCGAACGGGUGAGUAACACGUGGGUGUUCUGCCCUGCACUUCGGGAUAAGCCUGGGAAACUGGGUCUAAUACCGGAGAGGAGCCAUUUUGAGUGUGAUGGUUGGAAAGUUUUUUCGGUGUAGGAUGAGCUCGCGGCCUAUCAGCUUGUUGGUGGGGUAAUGGCCUACCAAGGCGGCGACGGGUAGCCGGCCCGAGAGGGUGGACGGCCACAUUGGGACUUAGGUACGGCCCAGACUCCCACGGGAGGCAGCAGUUGGGAAUUUUGCACAAUGGGCGCAAGCCUGAUGCAGCGACGCCGCGUGGGGGAUGACGGCCUUCGGGUUGUAAACUCCUUUCGCUAGGGACGAAGCUUUUUGUGACGGUACCUAGAGAAGAAGCACCGGCUAACUACGUG